UUUUCCUUUCCAAAUCCUUAUUAGUUUCCUCUGUUUUCAUGACGGUGCAUUAAUGUAGAAUUACACCAUGAACGUUUACCUUUUGUAGUACUCCUCUUUGUUUCCUUAUUGCCCUGAAAAGAUAAGCCGAUGAUCAGUUUUACUGAUUGUGUGUAUCACAAUUCAGAUGUGCAAAUGUGAACACUCACUCAAAUGUAGAUUCAAAUAGCAUCAACAUUUGACUGUAAAAUGUUGAUGGAAAAGGCUCUUUUCCUCUCACCGUGUGUCCCACCAUUUCAGGGCAGGAGCUGAUGCUGGCUGUUUCCUGCUCGAGUCCCUGAGAUGUUCUCCCUGCGCGCUGCUUACCCGAGGCUGCCGUUGGGGACAGCCCCCCCUGUUGGCCGUGAUAUGAAGUCGAUCUCCCCACCACUUGCCGGUCAGAAAAGAACUCUUCCUGUCCCAUAGGCUGCUGGUGUAUCUCUGGACCGUGUACGGCUUUCCUGCAGCGACGAAAAACACAUUGAAACCAACGACAACACCAAUCAAAAAACAACUCACGAGCGGUGCGUUCUGGUGCUUUAAAAAAAAAAAGACGCCUGGCGGGGUAUGAGGUGAAAAUGAUCUGAAUUGACUUUUAAAGAGGUGAAAUAUGACAGUAGUCUAAAGUUUCUUUCCUAAAACUGGAUGUGACGGAGAUAUUUACGACCUCAAUGCACCAACUCCGCCUACUCCCUCCAUUCGUCAGAACACGGCUGCGACCCAUCAGCUCACACCGUCUGCUUUUGCGUCUCCAUCACUCUUUCUCCUCCCUUCUAUCAUUUUUUGUUUAUCACACUCCCCCUCGUUGGAGUCUUUCUUCAUCUCUCCCUGAACCUCACUCAUUUAUUCAUGUUUUUUCUCGUCUCUUCCACUUCUCUCAUUUCCAGUCAGCCGUGCGUUGUUGAAGUUGGAAUUUAUGGCGUUAGCAGGGUGAACUCAUCACAAACACACCGGGUCCUGGCACAUUCACGAGGUCAAAAGGGUUUGUGGGAGGCCUGCCCUAUUGAGUAAAUCUUUGCCUGUAAAGUGAGCCAACCUGCUCUGAGAUGCAAAGUAAUCCCACCUUUGAACUGACCUUCUUUUCAUUAGUCAUGUUGCAAAAAUGUAGAGAAUUGCGUUCAAGUCUGAACCAAAGCUUUUCAGGUUGCUGGUCAACUAAAGUUACUAUACAUGCUAAAUACAUUUCUUUAUCAAACAUUUUAGAUUUAAAAUCGACUAUUUAUUACAUCCGGGGUGCCCAAAACAGUGCCCAAAAGCGUCCGGUCGCCUACAAGGAGCUACAGACCUUUUAAAAUUGCCCAAUUUAACAGCACUUGCUUGAUCAAAGCGCCUUUUUUCCCGGAGGCCCGAUGCAUUAGAAGCUCAGCGUCUAUUUUGGGCUGAACUUCCAACUUUGGGUAAGCUGCGCAGGCACAAGCGAGACAUUUAAUCAUGUUGGAUUAGGGGCAGGAAAAAUACAUUAGGGUAGCGAGGGGCAUUUAGCAAAAAAGCUAAUUUAUGCUCUGAGAGUGACUGCUUAGUUGUACUCUCACCUGAAAGACAGGGACCUGACCGACGCUGCUACCCUGUCAAAUAUGGAGUGCCUCGGAUUCUCCUCGUCCUCUUCCUCCUCUGACCGCUCUUCUUCCUCCGUCUGAAAAGAAAUCAGCGGUAACACAAGAGGGGUCGUGCACACUGAACUGUGCGUGUAGUUGUGGGUGACAGCGGGGAAACGAGGCGGAUGUCAUGUGGAUUGUGAUAGCAGCUUUUUCCUCAGGUCUCCAUCCACUCACUCUGCACAAACAACACACACACACACACACACAGUGCGCUAAAGUCUUGCUAAGCGAAGGGCAUCGAGAAAGGGCAAUAAGGAGCUGAUUCCAAUCUCCUCAUGUGUUUCCUCACCCUGCGGCUGCAUCGAGAUUAACAUGGCAGUCACAAGGGGGUGUGAAAUGCUCAAUGUGCGUGUGUGUGUGCUCGUCUCACACUUGGUUUGUAAUUCAUUGUGUAGUUCAGAGAAGAACAACAGUCGCCAUAGUGACUACUAAGAGUGAGCGUUUAUGGAAACGGAUCCCGAGGGAGUUUUUAAACAGAACUCGAGGAGGGGAUUCUUGUGGAAGGAAAGCCGUAGGUUGCCUCGACAUAAACUGUGUAAGCAAUCCAGCUUCUGAAAUUUGACUUGGUGUUUCCACCCUGGGUGUAAUUAUCCAAAACUAAAACUACACGCUAGAACAUACGGUGUGUGUGCGUGUAACAAUAACGCUAUCGGCGGGGAAUCUCUUCUAAUGGCCACCGUUUUAGUAGGAGUUACAAGACGAAUGUCAGACCUGACAAAUGUUUGAGUCUCAGAGUGAGUCACUGUGCGUAUUCUCCUAAUCUUCUGUCAGAAUGGGGCCGUGGAGAUAUUGCGUGUGACACAUGGAUGAUGUAAUAAUUCAAACUGUUGAUUCAAUAUCCAGAUACGAUAAAGUGGAAAUAACACAUUC